GGUUGAUCCUGCCAGUAGUCAUAUGCUUGUCUCAAAGAUUAAGCCAUGCAUGUCUAAGUAUAAACAACUUUAUACUGUAAAACUGCGUACAGCUCAUUAAAUCAGUAAUUAUUUAUUUGAUGGUACCUUACUACAUGGAUACCCGUAGUAAUUCUAGAGCUAAUACAUGCACAAAACCGCGACUCUCGGGAAGCGGUGUAUUUAUUAGAUAAAAAACCAAUGCAGGCUCUGCCUGGUUUGUGGUGAUUCAUAGUAACUGAUCGAAUCGCAUGGCCUCGUGCCGGCGAUAGUU
rnacentral:rRNA from 1 species